rnacentral:rRNA from 1 species
GAUGAACGCUAGCGGCAGGCUUAACACAUGCAAGUCGAGGGGCAGCAUAAUGGAUAGCAAUAUCUAUGGUGGCGACCGGCGCACGGGUGCGUAACGCGUAUGCAACCUACCUUUAACAGGGGGAUAACACUGAGAAAUUGGUACUAAUACCCCAUAAUAUCAUAGAAGGCAUCUUUUAUGGUUGAAAAUUCCGAUGGUUAGAGAUGGGCAUGCGUUGUAUUAGCUAGUUGGUGGGGUAACGGCUCACCAAGGCGACGAUACAUAGGGGGACUGAGAGGUUAACCCCCCACACUGGUACUGAGACACGGACCAGAAUCCUACGGGAGGCAGCAGUGAGGAAUAUUGGUCAAUGGACGCAAGUCUGAACCAGCCAUGCCGCGUGCAGGAUGACGGCUCUAUGAGUUGUAAACUGCUUUUGUACGAGGGUAAACGCAGAUACGUGUAUCUGUCUGAAAGUAUCGUACGAAUAAGGAUCGGCUAACUCCGUG